AUCCGGAGGGAGCUAGCGUUGUUCGGAAUUACUGGGCGUAAAGCGCACGUAGGCGGACUGGUCAGUUAGGGGUGAAAUCCCAGGGCUUAACCCUGGAACUGCCUCUAAUACUGCCAGUCUUGAGUUCGGGAGAGGUGAGUGGAAUUCCUAGUGUAGAGGUGAAAUUCGUAGAUAUUAGGAAGAACACCAGUGGCGAAGGCGGCUCACUGGACCGAUACUGACGCUGAGGCGCGAAAGCGUGGGGAGCAAACAGGAUUAGAAACCCCAGUAGUCC
rnacentral:rRNA from 1 species